rnacentral:rRNA from 1 species
UGACCCAUGUUCAACGGCCGCGGUAUCCUAACCGUGCGAAGGUAGCGUAAUCACUUGUUCUUUAAAUAAGGACUAGUAUGAAUGGCACCACGAGGGUUAUACUGUCUCCUUUUUCUAAUCAGUGAAACUGAUCUCCCCGUGAAGAAGCGGGGAUUUUUAUAUAAGACGAGAAGACCCUAUGGAGCUUUAAACAACAUAACAAUUGCUAUAUUUAUUAAUAAUUCCAGAAGACUUAAAUAUACCUUAGCAUUAUGAUUAUUAGUUUUAGGUUGGGGUGACCGCGGAGAAAAAAUCAACCUCCAUAUUGAAAGGAUACUAUCCUAAACAAAAAGCCACAACUUUAUGUAUCAAUAAAUUGACAUUAAUUGACCCAAUAUUUUGACCAACGAACCAAGUUACCCUAGGGAUAACAGCGCAAUCCGCUUCAAGAGCUCCUAUCGACAAGCGGGUUUACGACCUCGAUGUUGGAUCAGGGUAUCCCAGUGGUGCAGCCGCUACUAAAGGUUCGUUUGUUCAACGAUUAAAACCCU